rnacentral:lncRNA from 1 species
AUUCUCUUUUCUUUUUCCUUUUAUGACUUUUUCAAGAAAGACAUAAAAAUAUUUUUCAGUAAAAACCUGACCUAGAACAUGCUGAGUCCCUUCUACCUCGGCAGUGAAUUCCUUGAGACAGAAAACAAAACUGUGGCUAAAGAAAUACAAUCAUUCUUCCCAGAGUGAAGCAGAAGAUGUUUCACAGACAGCCUGUGUCCUCAGAGCAAAUCUUCUUACAGUCCAGUAUAUGCCCAGAUCUGGAAAAUAACAAGAUGAAAAAAGAGAACCUGAAAGACAGAACUUUGAUUGCUUGCAGAAGGAGAAACAGAAUUCUCUACAAAUUGCAUUAAAUUAUUAUAAAUGAGACAACAAAACUGGGGAAGAUGGGCAAGGAAAUGCCGAAGAGUUAUUGAAAAAGGAGACUUCAAGCCCACAAAGCAAAUGUAGCAGGCAGAGAAGAAUGUGAAACUACAAACCCUUGUUGGAGCCCCAUGCCAUUGGAAGGCAGGGAAUUUUUUCCCUUACCCCAUGUGGGUAUUACAAAGCACUUCUACCCACUGCAGAAGACGAACAGAACACAAGCAGGUGGACAGCAGAAAAUGAAAAGAGGUCAUGUGCAGUUUACAAAGCUCCCUACUGUAAGGAGGAGAUAUAGUGCAUGAAUAUUUGCGUGCAUAUCGGUACCUGGUACAUCACAGGAAAUUAAUAAAUUCUCAAUAAAUGAGUGAGUGAAACCAGGUAAAGCAAAAACUUUCCAUUCUGAUAAGUCGGCACUAAUAAUUUCAAGUAAAGUUGUUCACGCCUGUAAUCCCAGCACUUUGGGAGGCCGAGGCAGGC